UCCUCUUGUUGACUUCAGGACGAAGUUGUUGCUAACAACGUGAAGAAGGCUGAGUUUGUGGAAGCUGCAAACAUAARGUGUCUUCACACCAAGAGCUGCUUCCCACAGAUAAAAUACGCUCGCAGCUGCUUGUCRGAGGGGAGAACAAUGACGGCAACAAGUUUCAUCAACUGCACAAACAGCAGGGAACGUCUGCAUAAUCCAGCCACCAAACCCUCAGAUCUUUCACCAGCAAACCACUGGAUCGUUCGGCUUGUUGUUGUCUGUGUCCUGCUACUGAUGUAAUCCUGAACAGAAACCAACUUUGCAGAUUCUUUCGUGAUUAGUUGGAGCGUUGACAAUUUUUGCAGGUGGUUCAGGAGGUGUAAUCGAGUCAGAACGGCCCACCCAACGAGGACCUGUUGAAACAGAGGAGACGAGAGAAACUUUUCUCUGAUCGUCAUACACUCACCGUCCACUUUAUUAGAUACACCUUGCUAGUAUCAGGUUGAAACCCUUUUGCCUUCAGAACUGCCUAAACCUUUCCUGCCAUAGAUUCAACAAGGUACUGGAAACAUUCCUCAGAGAGUCU